rnacentral:rRNA from 1 species
UACGUUUGGGGCAAGCGUUAUCCGGAUUUACUGGGUGUAAAGGGAGCGUAGGCGGCCUGGCAAGCCUGAUGUGAAAUACCGGGGCCCAACCCCGGGGCUGCAUUGGGAACUGCCAGGCUGGAGUGCCGGAGAGGCAGGCGGAAUUCCUAGUGUAGCGGUGAAAUGCGUAGAUAUUAGGAGGAACACCAGUGGCGAAGGCGGCCUGCUGGACAGUGACUGACGCUGAGGCUCGAAAGCGUGGGGAGCAAACAGG